CCGGCAAUAGCUCAGUUGGUAGAGCGGGAGACUGUAGUACGACUGUUAUCUCUAGGUCGCUAGUUCGAAUCUGGCUUGCCGGA